rnacentral:rRNA from 1 species
GAUGAACGCUAGCGGCAGGCCUAAUACAUGCAAGUCGGACGGGAUUUGGGAGCUUGCUCCUAAUGAGAGUGGCGCACGGGUGCGUAACACGUAUGUAACCUACCUUAAUCAGGGGGAUAGCCUCUCGAAAGAGAGAUUAACACCGCAUAAUAUAUUUUUAUGGCAUCGUAGGAAUAUCAAAUAUUUAUAGGAUUAAGAUGGGCAUGCGGAACAUUAGCUGGUUGGUAAGGUAACGGCUUACCAAGGCUACGAUGUUUAGGGGAUCUGAGAGGAUGACCCCCCGCACUGGUACUGAGACACGGACCAGACUCCUACGGGAGGCAGCAGUAAGGAAUAUUGGUCAAUGGGCGCAAGCCUGAACCAGCCAUGCCGCGUGCAGGAAGACGGCCCUAUGGGUUGUAAACUGCUUUUGUACCGGAAUAAACCCUUUUACGUGUAGAAGGCUGAAUGUACGGUAAGAAUAAGGAUCGGCUAACUCCGUGCCAGCAGCCGCCGUAA